rnacentral:rRNA from 1 species
CUAGGCUUGACAGUUGGGGAAAUCUGGCAGAGAUGCCAGGUCCGUAAGGGCCCCAAAACAGGUGGUGCAUGGCUGUCGUCAGCUCGUGUCGUGAGAUGUUGGGUUAAGUCCCGCAACGAGCGCAACCCUCGUCGUAUGUUGCCAGCGGAUAAUGCCGGGGACUCAUACGAGACUGCCGGAGUCAACUCGGAGGAAGGUGGGGAUGACGUCAAAUCAUCAUGCCCCUUAUGUCUUGGGCUUCACGCAUGCUACAAUGGCCGGUACAGAGGGCAGCAAUACCGCAAGGUGGAGCGAAUCCCAAAAAGCCGGUCUCAGUUCGGAUUGAGGUCUGCAACUCGACCUCAUGAAGUCGGAGUCGCUAGUAAUCGUAGAUCAGCAACGCUACGGUGAAUACGUUCCCGGGUCUGUACACACCGAAUCUAGAGCAUCGGAGCGAA